AACGAACGCUGGCGGCAUGCCUAACACAUGCAAGUCGAACGAGACCUUCGGGUCCAGUGGCGCACGGGUGCGUAACGCGUGGGAACCUGCCCUUAGGUUCGGAAUAACUCCCCGAAAGGGGUGCUAAUACCGGAUAAUGUCUUCGGACCAAAGAUUUAUCGCCUUUGGAUGGGCCCGCGUUGGAUUAGCUAGUUGGUAGGGUAAAAGCCCACCAAGGCGACGAUCCAUAGCUGGUCUGAGAGGAUGAUCAGCCACACUGGGACUGAGACACGGCCCAGACUCCUACGGGAGGCAGCAGUGGGAAUAUUGGACAAUGGGCGAAAGCCUGAUCCAGCAAUGCCGCGUGAGUGAUGAAGGCCUUAGGGUUGUAAAGCUCUUUUACCCGGGAUGAUAAUGACAGUACCGGGAGAAUAAGCGCCGGCUAACUCCGUG
rnacentral:rRNA from 1 species